rnacentral:misc_RNA from 1 species
UGUGUUUGGUGGGGUUGAUCCUAAGCACUUUAGGGGAAAACACACUUAUGUCCCAGUCACACAGAAGGGUUAUUGGCAGUUUGAUAUGGGUGAUGUUCUGAUUGAUGGACAAGCUACAGGUUACUGUGACGGUGGAUGUUCUGCAAUUGCGGAUUCGGGAACUUCUCUCUUGGCUGGUCCAACGACUGUAAUCACUAUGAUCAAUCAUGCCAUUGGGGCCUCUGGAGUUGUUAGCCAACAAUGCAAAACUGUUGUUCAACAGUAUGGCCAAACAAUAAUGGAUAUGCUCUUAACAGAGGCAAACCCAAAGAAGAUCUGUUCACAGGUUGGGUUGUGCACCUUUGAUGGAACUCGAGGUGUAAGCAUGGGCAUUGAAAGUGUUGUAGACGAGAAAGCUGGCAAAUCGGCAGGAUUGCAUGAUGCUAUGUGCUCUGCUUGUGAAAUGGCAGUUGUAUGGAUGCAGAACCAACUUAGACAGAACCAGACUCAGGAUCGCAUUUUGAACUAUGUGAAUGAGCUCUGUGAGCGACUUCCAAGCCCAAUGGGACAAUCAGCUGUUGAUUGUGGAAAGCUUUCUGGCAUGCCUAGUGUUUCCUUCACAAUCGGUGGCAAAAAGUUUGACCUCGCACCUGAGGAGUACAUACUCAAGGUGGGCGAGGGUCGAGCUGCACAAUGUAUUAGUGGCUUCAUUGCUUUGGACAUUCCUCCACCCCGUGGACCUCUUUGGAUCUUGGGGGAUGUCUUUAUGGGUCGAUAUCACACAGUGUUUGAUUCUGGAAAACUGAGAGUUGGAUUCGCUGAAGCAGCUUAAUGAAACCCAAAAAACGCAAGCCCUACAGAUGUUGUGUAGUGACUUGCCCUUAGUAUAAGUCUUUAUGAACAAAUGGGAUUGCAAAAGUUUGGACGGUAAGGUAUUGCAAGAGGAAAACCUUGUAAAUAUUGGCUUUUCUCGUUUGACUAGAUAUGUAAUACUGUUUGUGUUUG